rnacentral:tRNA from 1 species
GCGGUUGUAGCUCAGUCCGGCCAGAGCGCCGCCUCGCCAUGGCGGAGGUCCCGGGUUCGAAUCCCGGCUGCCGCU